UACGGAGGGUGCAAGCGUUGCUCGGAAUCACUGGGCGUAAAGGGUGCGUAGGCGGUCUCGCAAGUCUGGCGUGAAAGCCCAAGGCUCAGCCUUGGAAGUGCGCUCGAAACGGCGAGGCUGGAGUGCCGGAGGGGAGAGUGGAAUUCCCGGUGUAGCGGUGAAAUGCGCAGAUAUCCGGAGGAACACCGGUGGCGAAGGCGGCUUCCUGGACCGACACUGACGCUGAGGCGCGAAAGCUAGGGGAGCAAACGGG
rnacentral:rRNA from 1 species